rnacentral:rRNA from 1 species
UACGUAGGGGGCUAGCGUUGUCCGGAUUUAUUGGGCGUAAAGAGCGUGUAGGCGGCCAGAUAGGUCUGCUGUGAAAACUCGAGGCUCAACCUCGAGACGCCGAUGGAAACCAUCUGACUAGAGUCCGGGAAGAGGAGAGUGGAAUUCCUGGUGUAGCGGUGAAAUGCGCAGAUAUCAGGAAGAACACCCGUGGCUAAGGCGGCUCCUCUAGUACGGU